rnacentral:rRNA from 1 species
CUGGUCAUUUAGAGGAAGUAAAAGUCGUAACAAGGUUUCCGUAGGUGAACUGCGGAAGGAUCAUUACCGAAUUGUCGACACGAGUUGUUGCUGGUCCUCAAAUGGGGGCAUGUGCACGCUCUGUUUACAUCCACUCACACCUGUGCACCCUAUGUAGUUCUGUGGCUUGGGGGACUCUGUCCUCUGGCCGUGGUUCUAUGUCUUUACACACGCUCUGUAAUAAAGUCUCAUGGAAUGUUUGCCGCGUUUAACGCAAUACAAUACAACUUUCAGCAACGGAUCUCUUGGCUCUCGCAUCGAUGAAGAACGCAGCGAAAUGCGAUAAGUAAUGUGAAUUGCAGAAUUCAGUGAAUCAUCGAAUCUUUGAACGCACCUUGCGCCCUUUGGCUAUUCCGAAGGGCAUGCCUGUUUGAGUAUCAUGAACACCUCAACUCUCAUGGUUUGCCAUGAUGAGCUUGGACUUUGGGGGUCUUGCUGGCCUGUGGUCGGCUCCUCUCAAAUGAAUCAGCUUUCCAGUGUUUGGUGGCAUCACGGGUGUGAUAACUAUCUACGCUUGUGGUUUUCUGCCAGGUAACCUCCAGUGAUGGAGGUUCGCUGGGGCUUAUAAAAGUCUCUCCACAGUGAAGACAGCUUUGUGAACGUUUGAUCUCAAAUCAGGUAGGACUACCCGCUGAACUUAAGCAUAUCAAUAAGCGGAGGA